CGGGAAGGCCAUUUUGCCAUCUGGUAACUCUAGUAAUAGGUAAACAAACAUAGCAACCGCGAUUUUUUUGGUUUGGUGGUUAAAACUUCGCUUUAAAAGGGAUCUACGCUGAAUUUGAUAAACGAUGGCUGACAAACAAUCCACUGAGGACCCAACCAAAUCUGUCCAGACUCCAGCAGUGUCCAAGCCGGCGGAGAAACAGUCGAAAAAGACGACGCCAGGAAGUCUGAACUCGGGCUCAGCCGAUGGCGUGGAAAACCAUGAAAACUUGGAAAAGCCCGGCGCUCAGCCCACCGCCUACAGCAUGCGACCGGCCUUCGGGGAGAUGUUUCCGCUGCCCACCAUCAAAACCAUAAUGAACAACGUCAUGGCCGAGAAACUCAAAGACAAAACCUAUGACAAGGACAUUGCCAAGAAGUGGACAAGCGAGAUUGCCGACGAGGUGAACCAGCAGAUAGCCAGCAGCUCCAAGGUGAAGCGGUACAAGCACGUGGUCCAGGUGAUGCUAGGCCAGGAGCUGGGUGCGGGGGCCACCUACAACUCGCGCUGCUGCUGGGACUGCGACUGCGACACCUCCGUCUCCGAGGUCUUCAGCAACACCAGUCUCUUCUGCGUCUGUACAGUGUUUGGAACGUACCAGUACUAGAACCGAUUACCCACAGAACUGAUUAGGCUAAGGACCACAUCUCUAUAUUUAACUUUAAUGGGGCACCGGGAACAAAGGGUUCAUCACUUUCGAUAGUCGACCUUCGUCGUGCUUCAUUGGAUGCGUACGUUCAGCGGAUUCAGUAUGCGGCCCGACAUCACAGCCACGUCCAAGUCGCGAUCGACGAUGAAAAACAGAAACGGAUGAUUCACAGAUAUCUGAAUGGGCUUCGAUUGGGCGCCGUAGUUGCCUAGAGAGCAAAAGGAAGUGUUUAUUGCACUUUGUCUCGUGUUGCAGAGGCUGCAACUGUUGCAACACCAUUAGGUGGGGCGUUCGCAAUGCGUUGCGGCUCAAUGCCUCCACUCCACUCCAUUCAGGUGUGCUGCAAUGCGAGACACUUACGCUUCAGCUGAUUGAUGGGAUGCGUACGGAUGGUGACGUCUAUGGAUUGCUCAAUGUGCCGCACGUAGACGCCCUUCUCCUCAGUCAUGGGCCUGAAAUCGGCGCGAUUUGGCUCGAAUACAUCGCAGCUGCAAAAGAAGUUACGUUAAGCCAGGAACUGGAGCUAUUACGCCCAUGCUUACAUUCCCAUCUGCAACAGAAAGCAAAAACCAAAGAGCUCAAUAAAAAUGCACCAAAUGCAAAAUGCACACCACAAAUGAA